UUGGAAUUGGGAAAAACUUUUUACUGAAAAGGUUGUCAAGCAUUGGAACAGACUGUCCAGGGAAGUAGCUGAUUUCACCAUCCCUGGAGGAAUUUGAAGAGUUGUAAAUGUGCAGUUAGGGGAGAUGGUUCAGUAGUGGACUUUCCGGUGCUGGGUUAAUGACUGGAUUUGAUGGAUAUUAACAUCUUUUCCAUGCUAAAUAAUUCUAUGAUUAUUAAUAUUGUUGUGGUAAGUAUUGAGGAUCUGUCUCCAUUUCGUACACAGCGAAUGACGGUAUUUUUACUUUAUCUGCACAGAAAUUACGUGAAAGCACUGUGGCCUCCCUUGUACACCAGCCACCAUUGCUUGGCUAAUCUCUGAUUUGCAAUCAAUUUGUUCCAUGCAUCCUGGUCAUGAGCUAGAGGGUGGCAGGCUCAUGCUCAAAGAAACUCUGAUACCGACUGUGCCUCCCACGCACAAACAUCUUCACUGUACAACUCCAGCCAGCACGUGUGAUCGCUGCAGAAGAGUCUCUGUUAUGUAAGUGACAUGGAGUUUACUCACAAGGUAAAUCAAAAGCAUUGGGAUGGAAUGGGGUAUAGUAGGGAGGAACAAGUGUAGGCUCCAGUCAUUAUCAAAGAAAAUGGAAACAGAACUAAUAAGUUUAAAUAACGAAUGCUGUAAGUGAAUGCCAGUUCCACAAAGUACACAUCUGUAUAGUGAGAAUUCCUUCUAGGCACACAGAGUUUGUAACUGGGCUCACAAGUACUUAAAAAGGUAUUAUGCAUUCUUUUGCCAUAUAAUCAAACAUUUUUGUAUACUUAUUAACAGUGAAACUCUACAGUAACUGAGUAGUCACAAGAUAAACUGUUAAGGUACUCACCUUUGAGUUUGAAGACUUUUAUUCUCUCUUCAAUCAGCUUCUUCUCCUUGAUAUCAAAGUUUUCCUCAUUUGUUUAACCUGCACCUCCAGCUGGCUUAAGAGCUCUCCUUUACCUUGCCACCUCUUUUUCAAUGCGCUGAAAAUAAAAUGCACGUAUUUACAAUGACUAUAAAUACCACUCUUAGGAGGGCAGAAAAAACUUCCAUUUUUCCUCAUUUCUGUGGGUUUUAAUAGCAAGCAAAUACUCUCUGAACAUAGAAUACUUCAGAGCAGUGGUUGCGUACAACGAUCCCAAAGAAUUAUUGUGACUUGUCUGUAUCACCUGUGUGCAUGCCUAAUGUCAUCAAGUUCCACUUCUUUUUCUUCUAGUAGUGCUUUAAUUCCUCUUUUCUUUCAUUCUGCCUUUCUAAUUUUUCCAUUAGCUUUUCACAUUCAGCAGCUUUUUCAUCCAGCUCUACUUCAAACAAUUUCUGAGCUUCACGAUUUUCUUCAUGCUGUUUUCUGAUUUGUUUAUCUUUUUCUUGUAAGCCCUUUAGAAGAUAAAUAUUUUAGUACACAUAAACACUCUUAACUUUAUUGUUACAAUUUAAGAGUAUUUGUUUAGUCUAUGGUGGAAUAAAGCAGAGAAGGACAUGUGAAAAUUUACUCUUCUGAAUGUAUGAAAAACACUUAGUAAAGUGAUAGCCAAUUAAUCAAUCUUCAGCUGAAAAAGUCAGAGUAACAAAAAAAACCCCACCAAAACAAAUCUGAAGUUGAAAGUAAGUUAAGAAAAAAGUUAUUUUGAACUCUUAUUCUACAGUUGAAUAAACAACUUAUUCUUUUGCACAACCUAUUCCACACAGUCCCUGAGUUCACAAUCUGUAAGGAGUAAUGGGUCUAACUUUGACUGACAUAACAUGCUAUAAAUUUUGAUUAAUAAGCUAGUUUUAAGUCUCUUAAUGAAUGAAUGGAAUUAAUAGAACAAAACAUAGUACCUCUGCUGCCAAAAUACUGAUUUACAAGAACAGAAUAAAGAAAAAAACAUUUACAUGUUGUAAAAUAAACAUGAAGCAAUAUUUAAAAUUGUUUUUCCUUUUUCAGGAAGAAUUAUACUAUCUGGGUUUCACCUCUCUCAAAAUCAUUUUCAAGAAUAAUUUGAAGCAAGGCAAAGAGAAUAAAGUCUGUACAUAAGUAUGGUUCAAUGAGAGAUUCAAAGUAGCACUUCUGUACAUGAACAUGAAUUUAAUAAAAAACUCUCUUCUGCUCUCAGUGAAAUGAAUUGCCACUGACAGCUUGAUUGUGAUUUGUGAGUUGAUAAACAAGGACUGCAGGGCCAUCUUUCACUACAGCCUUUACAAUUGCUAAAAUUAAGACUUGCAGUGAAAGUUAAGUAUAAAAAUUGUCAGAUAUGGCACUUACUUCUUUCAAUCUCCUAAUUGUUUCUGUCUGAUCAUCCAGUAUUUUGUUUUUAAUUCUUAUAGUAUCACUGUCCUGUUCCUUUUGCUUUUUUAACAUUUCAAUCUCAUUUGUCAGAACUUCAAUUUUAGCUUCCAGUUUUCCCCGAUCUUGAGCAAGAUGAGCUCCUAGACAAAACAGGAUAUUCAUACUACAGUGCUCGUUUUACAGAUGACUUCAAGAUGUAGAAUGUUGGGAAAUUGGGUGGAGGUGCAGGAAAUAGAUAAGCUGUAUACGCAAUCAACUCCCACAGCUGCUGUUACAGAUCCCAUGUGCCACAGAACAUCUAUUUUUGCACAUCAACUCUACAACUAGAUAAGAGCCAGAAACCUUGUCAUGAUUACAACUGUACUGGAGUGUUUAUUUGAGAGGUCCACUGGUUCACCAGAAAUACCUCUUCCAUCUAGAGCUGUUAGCUGGGGCAACGACUGAAGAACAGUUUCUCUAUAACCUUGAGGAAAAGACCACAUGUAAAUUGAAAUCAAUCUCCCAAGAUGUCUAGUGUAUUUCAGUUACCCUGUCAUCUUAAAUGAUUCAUUGCACUUUUAAUACAAGAAAAAAAGUAGCGAGUUAUCUACAAUUGUCUCAUCUUUCCCCAUCCAUGGCAUUCAACAGAUAACAUUACAAAACUAAAUGAACUUGGAAGCUGUCUGCCUGGUCCUGGCCUACACUGGGAUUUCCCAACCAUCAUCAGCACACUGCAGUUGCACAGACAACCUUUUAAUCUCAGACUACUGCACAAAAACAGUUGUAUCAAAUGGAAGGACAGACAAAUGUAAUGGAAAGGCCAGUUCUGAAACAGCUUAGAUAACUUCUUUGUCAGUGAAUGAAAUAAGGCAUUAUGAAACUGGAAAGCAUUGAAGUUAACUUUCUUUAAAUUAAUGGAAUUUGGGUUUCUGAACAGUGCAGUUUUGAAAGUUAGUGUCACCAAAGACAUAUGAAGAGGUAUGUAAAUACUUGCUGAAGAAAACUACUGGAAUUUUCUGAGUUAUCCAGAUAACUUUAAUAGUCCUGUUACUGUUUCCAUAGUGCCUGAAUGCAUUUGUAAAACAUUUGCUUUUGAAAAUAUUACUUAAAACCUAAUUUGGCUUUCCUCAAUUACCUUUGAGGUUUCUUUCUAACUGUACAUAUAUUACACCUGUAUCAGUUACAUGCCCAUUAUAUAGCUGAUAUUUUGUAUUAUUGCAUUAUUUGUACUGUUCUACUCUUUGUAAUGAAAUUAUCUUUGAGCUCUCCCAGAAGUAUCCAUCUUCUGCUUCUACAGAUUUUCCCUUCUAUAGAUUUUCCCCUCUCAUAUACACAAAGAAAGAAAACAAAAAAAACCCGACACCAAAACAGGAUGCUACAAUUUAACUUGUUUGAAAACAUGGUGUAACAUUUAAAUAGCAAGAAAAACCUACCCCCAAAGCAGAAGCUCUAAGCAACCCAACUGAAAGCGAUAUAUCCACAUGCAAUCUCCAACUUGUCUCCAUGCUGCCUACUAUGUGAAACCCCUGCCUACUAUUUUGAUACAAAUGCUAAUUACUGCAGAGUAUUCUAAGUCUGCCACUACUAACCUUAACCUAAAACAAUAUCAUAGAAUCAUAGAAUGGUUUGGGUUGGAAGGGACCUUAAAGAUCACCCAGUUAUCCAACCCCCUGCCAUGGGCAGGGACAC